rnacentral:rRNA from 1 species
UACGUAGGGGGCGAGCGUUAUCCGGAUUCACUGGGUGUAAAGGGAGCGUAGACGGCCAAGCAAGCCGGGGGUGAAAGCCCGGGGCCCAACCCCGGGACUGCCCUUGGAACUGCAUGGCUGGAGUGCGGGAGGGGCAGGCGGAAUUCCUGGUGUAGCGGUGAAAUGCGUAGAUAUCAGGAGGAACACCGGCGGCGAAGGCGGCCUGCUGGAUCGCGACUGACGUUGAGGCUCGAAAGCGUGGGGAGCGAACAGG